UAAAGAUUAAGCCAUGCAUGUCUAAGUACUUGCCAAACUAAGGCGAAACCGCGAAUGGCUCAUUAAAUCAGUUAUGGUUUACCUGACAGUUAAUUUACAUGGAUAACUGUGGUAAUUCUAGAGCUAAUACAUGCAGCAAGCCUUGACCCUUACGGGCAAGGCGCAGUUAUUAGAUCAAAAACCAAUCGGUUGUACUUUCGGGUAUAGCCGUUACUUUGGUGACUCUGAGUAACCACAGCGAACCGUAUGGCCUCGUGCUCGACGGUCUGUCAGUCAAGCAACUGCCUUAUCAGCUUGUUGUUAGAUUAUAUGCCUAACAAGGCUCAACGGGUAACGAACGAU
rnacentral:rRNA from 1 species